AGCGUAGAUGGCUUUCUAGAAAAGCUUCAUCGUAGGGCCGAAUAUGAGGGCAAAUGGCUCCGAUGGAAUGUUUUGGUUCUUCCAGUAGUUGCGAUUCCGAGAAGCAUA
rnacentral:lncRNA from 1 species